UCACAAGCAUGGUUUAGUGCACUGUUCCCAUUUCCCAGAAAGAUUAACAUUGUAAAAUCUCUGUUAGCACUUGCAUAAUGAAGAGGGGUUCAACUUACAAUGUUUGAAUUUCCUUUUGAUGAACUAACAUAUGAUGAUUGACUUGUUCUAAAUGAAUAUAUGCACAAAAAGACAGAGGCAGUAGAAAUCAAAACACAAGAAUGCAUA
rnacentral:misc_RNA from 1 species